GUUUCAUUUUUUCUUUCUUAAUAACUCCACGCCCACCACAUAGUGCCUAUGGUUAAUUGUGUCCUCCCUCCUCUGGUUCUUAACUGUACCCACUAGUAGUGUUUUAUAACUGUAAGCAGUGGAAACUGUAGCCAUAGUAUUGAGUUCUAAAAUGUACCACUCGAGGUGCAAGUUGUAAGCGAGGGUAUGAAUGUUUUGACCUUUGAUUUUUUGAGCCAAAGGCUUUUGGAACGCACCAACUAUAUAGCAGUGCUGGUAAGCGAUAAUAGCUUUCAAAAAACGUUGCUUAUAAUAGUUAUUUUACAUUAACGAAAGCUUUCAUUUCAAUAAUAAUGUGGGUUAUAUCAGGAGUACAUGAAGGGGAGUGAGCAACUACUAUACACACCAUAUAAAUUCAGUGUUGUCUCACUACGUCACAAACACUUGUAGUAAUGUAAACUGUGUGGUUUGACAUGACCAUGUAUGUCUAAGGUAGGUGGGCUACAAUUAGAAAUUCUACGCAUGUGCUUGCGCAAUACAUGUAAUUAACCAUAGAAGGUUAGCAGUGUACGUGCAUGCUGCUUUGUAGUUUUUUCUGACUCUUGUAGCUAACAAACAGCUAGCGCUUUAGUGCAAGGCUAACUCAUAAGCUGAAUAGAAAGUUUGUGCGAACAGAUGAUGCAAACAGAUGAUGCUAUGAAAUAUUUUUAAGAGACUGCAACAGCCUUCACUAUGCAUGUGAGUCAAACUAACCAUAACUCAGGAAAGAAGCUUUAGUUUGCAAACCCACGAAUCAAAAUCGUGGCUAGAAGCCUAUAGAUGCUGUUAGUUUUCGUCGCAUUGCAACCGUUAAGCAGUUAUACAGCUGGAACAGACACACACACACACACACACACACACACACACACACACACACACACACACACACACAGUCAGCUUUACCGUAUCCCUCGUACGGCUACGCCUCGAGGCAUAAUUAAUUGAGGUUUCAUACUCGGGGGGUAUAUGACUUAGUGCUAUAAUUAUAACAAGCUACAUUACUUAGCAGCAAGUGUAUAGACCCAUUGCUCAUAAAAGCCUACCGAACUUCAAAUUAUAGACUCUUGUUAAUUCGGCCACGCUUGGGAUAGUGCAGCUUGGCCGGAAUAGCGAGGUGGCUGUAUUUCAGAAAAUAGCCGCGUCUUAAAAACGACCUUACCUCGAAUCUAAUGACUAAUUUUGUGGUUCUUGUCUAGAGAUAAUAAAGGAUAAUGAGUCAUUCUGCUCGCUGGCAAAGUUUUUAAAAUGGGCAAAUUUGAUUGUUCAAGUACUGUAUAUAUGAAAUAAUGUUUCAAAUGUUUCAUUUUGCUUGCAGAGGAAGCUACAAUUCGAGAGAGGCCACUGUUCGAGACAGGCGUUUUUUAGGCCUACAGUAGAACCUCGAUUAUCCGACAUGGCAAAAAAAUGGCGAUUAUCCGGACUGCCUCUGGAACCAAGGUGUUUGGAUAUCGAGGUUCUACUGUAUAUAUACCAACACCCCAGCUAAUUCAAUUAUGGAAGCACCGCGGGUGCUGAUGCCUCGGUGGAGGUGCCAAAGCUACAUAACAUAAAACUACUAAUAGCUUUUAUACACACAUUAUAAUUAUCAUGAAGAAUAUUUUUGCAUUAAUUUUGCUGCAGGCAGGCAGAAUCCAGAAGAGUGGGUAAUGAUCGACCAUGAUGGUUAAAAACGAUCGAUUCAAAUCUAAAAUUAAUGGCUGCAUCAGCAGAGCCUUGCAGCUCUCUUCAGCUAGCAUUCUAGUGCAGAGCUAACUACUAAGUAGAGUAGCAACACUCGGUGAACAAGUUUUGCUACGCACUCUUCUGAAAAGGCUGCAUUGGCAUUCCAAGUAGGAAUAACUCGAGAACGAAGCAUUAUUUUGCAAAGUCCACGAAUUAAAAGAAAACAUGACUAGAAGCCUAUACUUUUAUUUCAUUGAUUGAGCAGCUGUAUAUGUAGCAGUCUACACAGACACACUACCCAGGGUGUCAUACAGGGGGGGGGAAAAGGGGGGAUAUCCCCCCCCUAUCUCCAAUUUCCCCCCCUUUUUUGCUGACUGAGGGUCCAUAGCUGGCAAUUUUACAUACUAUGAAAUAACAGUUGACCUUUUUUUAGCAAAAUUUUCUGGUUACUUUUCUUAUUUCCCCCCUCUACUUCAAAAUCCUGUAUGACACCCUGCUACCGUAUAUCUCGCUUGCGCACGCGCACCAAGGCAUAACAACCUUUAGUUUGUCAUCAAAAGUUCUUUUCACCUGCACCAAACUUGAUCUCUGCUACAAAAAUAAAAAGUGUAAAAAGCACUAACAAGUUGGUACCUAGCUAGCUCCAGUAUCAAUAUAGCUGCCACGUGUAGAGACAUAGCCUCAAAGGCUACUAUUUGAAUAUGCAGCCUUUAUACAAGAGCGACCUCUGAUCAAGUAUAAACGGUAAACGUAAGUCUGCUAAACAGUACUGUGCGUCUACUGAAUUGAUGACAUUACCUACAUGCAAAUUAAUGCUGCAUUAUAUACAGUUAUAAUUAUUACCAGUAUACUGAAGGGCUACAUUUUCUGCUAUGCAAAAAACAAUCCUCAGAGUGUCAGGCUCAGUUACAAUGGAGGCAAUAUUUUAUUGCACCAGUGUCUAUUUACAUGUACACAAGAUUCUAAGAAGCCCACACAUUUCAACAGCACCACGUGCUAGUUAGUGUUGGGUUACAUGUACAUGCAAUGUGCAUUAGCUAUGAAUGGCAUUACCAACCACUACGACCAUAAUAUGCAAGCCUGAAUAGAAUUAAGUUGAGCCGUACAAACCAUACGUAUUUGCUUGUAUACAGCUGGUGUUUAGAUUCAAAUGCACAUACACGUACACAGUAGCAAGUUGUUUAUCACUGAAGCCUUAACAACAGUUGUUAUUGGGUAUAUAAAUGGCAUGUGCUAAAAAGGUAAAUGUAAGUGUAAGACUACAUAUAUUCAGUAUAAGAUGCUUUUAACAAUGACUUUGUGGCUACUACUAGCUGCCCCAUUAGCUAAUUCAGCCAUUGCUCGUAACAGAGAGCUACAGAAUCAACUAAACAUUAUUGCAACAAGUGAGGAGAGCCGAGAGCAAAGAGAAUCCAACGACAGGAGUAGUAGAGCCAUGAACGAAGACUUGUCCACAAUUGAUAUCAUAGACAUUGUGGAUCAUCAAGAGGUUCGUCAAAAGCGUGAAGAAAGUUACAAGGGAAUACUAAAGGUGAAGAUUGUUCAGGCCAAACACCUCCCAGACAGUGACGGCUGGUGGAACGAGCCAGACCCGUACGCUUGUGUGGAGGCUGUAAAUAGAUUGAACACUCGAUACAGACAGUGCACUAAAGUGAUAUCAGGGACAAAAUUUCCCGUCUGGAACAAAGAGUUGAAUUUUGGGGAGAGCUGUAGCGGGUGGAGGUACAUCACAAUUAUCAUCUAUGAUGAGGACCCGGGGCGGCAUGACUUAAUGAUGCACUCUCCCAGGAUACUGAUAAGACCAGGAAGACUUUCAGAGUCGUACUGUAGCAACUCUAUAGAAUGUGUAGACUAUGAAAUUAAUAUGACAGUGCAGGAUUAGUAGCUCUAGCUAGUUAAUUUUCAGCAUUUUUUUAGUCAUCAUAACGAUCAAUCACUAAUAAUUACGUUCUCACUAUAACCGGCAAUGAUAUUAUA